rnacentral:lncRNA from 1 species
UUAAUUGAAGACAGGGGUCUAAUAGUUAAAUUUGAAAAUUUAGACGUCUGUAUACAAAAAAGCUAAAGCAUCAAUCAAGAAAAAUAACGUUAUUAGAUAAAAUGGAGUUGGGGUAAAAGCAUAUAUGAAUAUACUUGUGCGUUCUCGGAUGGGACUGCAGAAAAUAUAUUGUAAUCGACUCAUCGCGAUAUGCGGAACGCAAUAUUACGUACGGAAACAAAUAGGAUAUUUUUCUAACGUACUUUCUCACCUCCCGUAACCCAAUCUCCUCGCAAUUUCAAACGAAGCCUAAAGUUAAAAGGGUU